rnacentral:rRNA from 1 species
AUAAUAAUUAGGUUUUUAAUUGGAACCUUGUAUGAAAGGUUAAACAAAAGAAUUUCUGUCUUUUUUUUAAAAAUUGAAUUUAACUUUUAAGUGAAAAGGCUUAAAUUUUUUAAGGGGACGAUAAGACCCUAUAAAGUUUUAUAAUGAAAUAAAUCUUUAAAAAAAUAAAAUUAUAAAUUUAAGAUUUAUUUUUUUAUUUUGUUGGGGCGACACGGAUAUAAAUUUAAUUAACUGUCAGAAAAAAAAACAUAUAUUUAUGAAAAGUAAAAUGGUCCUAAAUAUAGAUUAUAAGAUAAAGUUACUUUAGGGAUAACAGCGUAAUUUUUUUCAAGAGUUCUUAUCGAAAAAAAAGUUUGCGACCUCGAUGUUGAAUUAAAAUGUCUUUACAGUGUAGCCGUUGUAUAAAGAAGGUCUGUUCGACCUUUAAAAUUUUACAU